rnacentral:tRNA from 1 species
AAUAAAGUUUUUAGAAUAUAAUAUUGAAGCUAUUAAGGAGAGAACCUAUUUUAA